CCCUGACGACUUUGGAAGGACCUGUUUACAUGCUGCAGCAGCUGUUGGGAACCUGGACUGUCUGAAUCUGCUGCUCAACACAGGGGCAGACUUCAACAGAAAGGACAGCAUCGGAAGGAGUCCUCUGCAUUAUGCGGCAGCCAAUUGUAAA